GACGAACGCUGGCGGCGUGCUUAACACAUGCAAGUCGAACGAAGAGCGAUGGAAGCUUGCUUCUAUCAAUCUUAGUGGCGAACGGGUGAGUAACGCGUAAUCAACCUGCCCUUCAGAGGGGGACAACAGUUGGAAACGACUGCUAAUACCGCAUACGAUCUAAUCUCGGCAUCGAGGAUAGAUGAAAGGUGGCCUCUACAUGUAAGCUAUCACUGAAGGAGGGGAUUGCGUCUGAUUAGCUAGUUGGAGGGGUAACGGCCCACCAAGGCGAUGAUCAGUAGCCGGUCUGAGAGGAUGAACGGCCACAUUGGGACUGAGACACGGCCCAGACCCCUACGGGAGGCAGCAGUGGGGAAUCUUCCGCAAUGGACGAAAGUCUGACGGAGCAACGCCGCGUGAGUGAUGACGGCCUUCGGGUUGUAAAGCUCUGUUAAUCGGGACGAAAAGGCCCUUCUG
rnacentral:rRNA from 1 species